UGAAAGUUGACGCAAAGGCAUCCAAACGUGCAGCAAUUCUGAUUUUUGUUUUAGCUUAUACAUAACGCAUUUUUUUAUGAUCAAAUUGUCCAGAUUUGUUGAAAAGCCUUCAUAAACAAUCGAACUGUAUCUCAUGGUGUUCUGAAAGUAAUCUGAACGUUAUGUCAGCUCUCUACAAGGACAGGUUGCAGCUAUUGUUCACCCUUUUUAAUUACAAUGUUUUUAUUUUGCUGUUUAAAUAAAUAACAUUAUAACCUG